rnacentral:misc_RNA from 1 species
GAUGAAGAACGCAGCGAAAUGCGAUACGUAAUGUGAAUUGCAGAAUUCAGUGAAUCAUCGAGUCUUUGAACGCACAUUGCGCCCCCUGGUAUUCCGGGGGGCAUGCCUGUCCGAGCGUCAUUGCUGCCCUCAAACACGGCUUGUGUGUUGGGCCUCCGUCCUCCUCCCGGGGGACGGGCCCGAAAGGCAGCGGCGGCACCGCGUCCGGUCCUCGAGCGUAUGGGGCUUCGUCACCCGCUCUUGUAGGCCCGGCCGGCGCUUGCCGACACAUCAAUCUUUUUUCCAGGUUGACCUCGGAUCAGGUAGGGAUACCCGCUGAACUUAAGCAUAUCAUAAGCGGAGGA